GAUGAACGCUGGCGGCGUGCUUAACACAUGCAAGUCGAACGAGAAGUGGAGACGGAAACCUUCGGGCGGAAGACUUUAUUUCGAGUGGCGGACGGGUGAGUAACGCGUGGGUAACCUGCCUCAUACAGGGGGAUAACAGUUGGAAACGACUGUUAAUACCGCAUAAGACCACAGCACCGCAUGGUGCGGGGGUAAAAACUCCGGUGGUAUGAGAUGGACCCGCGUUCGAUUAGCCAGUUGGCGGGGUAACGGCCCACCAAAGCGACGAUCGAUAGCCGAUCUGAGAGGAUGACCGGCCAUAUUGGGACUGAGACACGGCCCAAACUCCUACGGGAGGCAGCAGUGGGGAAUAUUGCACAAUGGGGGAAACCCUGAUGCAGCGACGCCGCGUGAGUGAAGAAGUAUUUCGGUAUGUAAAGCUCUAUCAGCAGGGAAGAAAAUGACGGUACCUGAGGAAGAAGCCCCGGCUAACUACGUG
rnacentral:rRNA from 1 species